GGAAUCUUCGGCAAUGGGGGCAACCCUGACCGAGCAACGCCGCGUGAGUGAAGAAGGUUUUCGGAUCGUAAAGCUCUGUUGUAAGAGAAGAACGUGUGUGAGAGUGGAAAGUUCACACAGUGACGGUAGCUUACCAGAAAGGGACGGCUAACUACGUGCCAG
rnacentral:rRNA from 1 species